UUUGUGCAGAACUACACAGAAGUAUUGCUGAGUACUUUGCAAUAUGAAUUCCUACAAUCUGCAGGAGUUUGCCACACUUUUCAGGUGAUCAUACUAGGAGAAAAACAAGAAAGAAAAAUGGUGACAGGAGGCAAGGAAACUACAGCAAGAGAGAUUACACAGCCAAAAUUGUAAAAUGAAAAGAGGCUCAUCAGGAAAGAGUGUGAUGUUCAACCAGUGAUGUCUUCCAUGGGCACAGAAGGGACACUGGCAGGAAGUACACCUCUGACAGACCUGC